UGGGGAAUCUUAGACAAUGGGGGAAACCCUGAUCUAGCCAUGCCGCGUGAGCGAUGAAGGCCUUAGGGUUGUAAAGCUCUUUUACCCGGGAAGAUAAUGACUGUACCGGGAGAAUAAGCCCCGGCUAACUCCGUG
rnacentral:rRNA from 1 species